rnacentral:rRNA from 1 species
AUCGAACGCUGGCGGCGUGCCUUACACAUGCAAGUCGAACGGUAACAGGUCUUCGGAUGCUGACGAGUGGCGAACGGGUGAGUAAUACAUCGGAACGUGCCUAGUAGUGGGGGAUAACUACUCGAAAGAGUGGCUAAUACCGCAUGAGAUCUACGGAUGAAAGCAGGGGAUCGCAAGACCUUGUGCUACUAGAGCGGCCGAUGGCAGAUUAGGUAGUUGGUGGGAUAAAAGCUUACCAAGCCGACGAUCUGUAGCUGGUCUGAGAGGACGAUCAGCCACACUGGGACUGAGACACGGCCCAGACUCCUACGGGAGGCAGCAGUGGGGAAUUUUGGACAAUGGGCGAAAGCCUGAUCCAGCAAUGCCGCGUGCAGGAUGAAGGCCUUCGGGUUGUAAACUGCUUUUGUACGGAACGAAAAGCCCCGGGUUAAUACCCUGGGGUCAUGACGGUACCGUAAGAAUAAGCACCGGCUAACUACGUGCCAGCCGCCGCAGUAA